rnacentral:lncRNA from 1 species
UUUAACAUUAUAAAAACAUAAUUUUGUUGAAAAAAACAUAAUAAUAACAAUAAUGUUACAAUAAGUUUUUAAUUAAACUCAAAAAUAAAACAAAUAACAACAAUAAUUUCUUAGGAAUACAACAAAACUAAACUAAACUAAACUAACAAUACUAAAAACACUGGAAAAUGAAAUAUAGCUAGGCAUAAUUAAGCCCAAGCGAAGUUCCCUUGCCACAACCAUUUUGAACAUAAUCUGCAUACAAAUAUGAGCACACAUGCCCAACCCAAAUAAGACGUUAGUACAUCUUAUAAAUCAUGUAAAAAAAAAACUUAAUCGUAUAUUUGGUCAUUUAUGUUUAUUUUAAAUUCUAAGAUUGGUCCCUUGUAUUUUAAAAUUUUCAAAUUGAUUGCUUAUGUUUUAAACGUUUUAAGUUGAUCUCUUAAGUUUCUAAAAUUUAAAUCAGUUAAUCUCUAAUUAAUCAUCUUUUUUGGUCUAACUAAUUCAAAUUUUAAAAACAUGAAAGACCAACUUAAAAUUUUUAAAAUAUAAGGGACCAGCUUGAAAUAAAAUAAAUAUAAGAGACCAACUUAAAACCUAAAAUAAAUAUAAGGAACGAAAUGUACAAUUUAACGCGCAUGAAUGAACAUAUAAAACCAACUAUAUAUAGGACCUAGAUCAACUUUAUUCUUAAUAAAAAGGACAAACUUAUGUUGGCAUCAAUAACAGAAGAGAUCAACUUUUUAUUUUGAAAGGCUAAACAUUAUAUUAAUAAAAUAAUGGACCAACUUGAUAUUUUUUAAAUGUAAUACACCAAAUUAACACUUAAAAUAAAUAUAAGAAACCCAAUUUGCAAUUAAUUAAGCCUUUUCUAAGGCUACAAACGAGGUUGAAAGGGUCGGACAAAUAAAUGUGUGAGAGAAAACAUGAGUAAAACCAUUAUGAUGAGAAAAAGAAAUUAAAUGGUUAACAAUUAUAGAGAAUGUAUUUUUACCUUAACUGUUAAAUGCAGUAACAUUUUNNNNNNNNNNNNNNNNNNNNNNNNNNNNNNNNNNNNNNNNNGGCAUGGUAUACGUUGAAAAUUUGGAGGAUUACGCUUUCCUGCAAUGUAAAAUAAGAAUAAUGAAAUAGUUUUAUAAACGGGUGAAAAUUUGUGUAUAUGAUAAAAAAAAAAAUUAAAAAAUAUGAGAAUGAUCUUACCAUAAACAUUGACUACAACAAGCAAUAGGGAAACAAAAAGGAUACUAGUAUAAACAAACUUGAAAAUUUCAGCCAUUUUCACAUGUAAUAAAUUGAAACA